rnacentral:rRNA from 1 species
UACGAAGGGGGCUAGCGUUGUUCGGAUUUACUGGGCGUAAAGCGCACGUAGGCGGAUCGUUAAGUGAGGGGUGAAAUCCCAGGGCUCAACCCUGGAACUGCCCUUCAUACUGGCGAUCUAGAGUCCGGAAGAGGUGAGUGGAACUCCUAGUGUAGAGGUGGAAUUCGUAGAUAUUAGGAAGAACACCAGUGGCGAAGGCGGCUCACUGGUCCGGUACUGACGCUGAGGUGCGAAAGCGUGGGGAGCAAACAGG